rnacentral:rRNA from 1 species
CACGGGUGCGUAACACGUAUACAAUCUGCCCAUAACAGGGGGAUAGCCCGGAGAAAUCCGGAUUAACCCCCCAUAAUAAAUUGAGUGGCAUCACUUGAUUUUGAAAACUACGGUGGUUAUGGAUGAGUAUGCGUAUGAUUAGCUAGUUGGUGAGGUAAUGGCUCACCAAGGCGACGAUCAUUAGGGGUACUGAGAGGUUAAACCCCCACACGGAUACUGAGACACGGAUCCG